GAUGGAUGUAGCCAUACUAUACUCAUCGGUGGCCAGAAACUUACUUGAAGAGAAAAAAAAACAUGAGGAAAACAUGAAAAUUUUAACAUUUAAGACGGAAUAUUUUGAUUUCUAUAGCAUAAUGGCCCAUAAUUGGAAGGUUAACAGUAAACUGAAAGAAGUUCACCAACGCUUGACUUUUGGAGGUUUUUGACCUUUUGACGUAAUGACAUUGCACGUAGCCAAAGGUUUAGCCCAAAAUGAGGGAUUCUUUGGACUUCCAUGGACUUUGCUAGCUCUCUGAGAGAAGAAGAGAACAGUGAGGCGGAGAACUUUUACUGCAACGUACAA